CAAUAGCGUAUAUUAAAGUUGUUGCGGUAAAAAAGCUCGUAGUUGGAUUUCUACCGAAGAUAGCCGGUCGGGUCUUCGACCUUGUAUCUGGUUUUGUCUUUGGUAUCCUCAUAGGGAACGUUUCUGCGCUUUAUUGCGUGGUGCGGUAUCUAUGACUUUUACUUUGAGGAAAUUAGAGUGUUCACGGCAGGCAAACGCCUUGAAUAUAUUAGCAUGGAAUAAUAACAUAGGAUCUUCGUCCUAUUUUGUUGGUUUCUAGGGUUAAGAUAAUGAUUAAUAGGGAUAAUUGGGGGCAUCUGUAUCAACGCGUCAGAGGUGGAAUUCUUGGAUUGCGUUGCGACAAACUACUGCGAAAGCAUUUGCCAAGGAUGUUUUCAUUGA
rnacentral:rRNA from 1 species